CGCGUGCGAAAUUCAGGAUGCAAAAGAUACCAUUGACAGUCUGCACGUGAACAAGAACUGCAAGAUUUGCUGACCUCAAAGUAAUCUGAAGAGGAAGCUCUCCUUUGGCAGCAGAGUACUUCAUGCUUUCUGUGGACCCGACCAUUGUGAAUGGUCACAUCAGUGCCUUCACCGAUGCUCUUGUGUUGAUGUUUGCCAAUAUUGGAGUUCUUGCAGAGAUGCCUCAAGAUCAACCCAGACAAGGGAUCAAGAGUGGAGAACAAUGCUACCAGAAAGCAGCUGGCGGUCAGUCCAAAGGUUCUUUCCCUGAUAACAAAAAUUGCGGACUAUGAAUGGAGGGAGUAAAAAGAAACACUUUUCAGAAGGGAGCCCAUUGCAAUCCAAUGUCCCUAGUUCUUUCUCAUGCACAGUUCAUGUUGGUCUCACUACUGUAUUCUUGAGUGGUGUUUAAUUGUUGUCAGAUGCUACCACUGUGAAUACUAGGUACACAUUGUACCAUAUUUUAAGUAUAGAAUUGGUUCACAGUACUGGACAAAGUUACUACUUUAAAAUUAUAGGCUACUUCAGUACCUUCAGUUAAGUUACUGCAGUAACAGUGGAAGCAAACAUUACACUGCACCUGGAAUAAAACUUUAUUUUAUCUUUCCAAAACGGGCUAGUUUUUAAAGGCAUCUGCAGUACCAGACAGACUUUUAAAUUGUAUGUAGCUUGUUUUUUAGUUUCAAGUCUUUUAAUUUCACUGGGAACAUUAGCUGAACCUACUGUAAACUGUUCUUGAACUUUCGCCCACAAGCAGCCAAUUGUUGGACUGCUAGCAGUAUGUAGCCAUGCCACGUUAAGCUUUGUAAGCAAGUAUGUUGCUAGAGCAGCAACUGUUUUCUAUUCUGAUCUGUUGGUCAACAGAAUAAAUACAUGUUGAACAGUA